GACAGAGGUCUCGAGCGUUAGGCGGAAUCACUGGGCUUAAAGCGUGUGUAGGCGGAGUUCUAAGUACCUUGUGAAAUCCCACGGCUUAACCGUGGAACUGCUUGGUAUACUGGUUCUCUUGGGCCACUUAGGGGCUACCGGAACAAACGGUGGAGCGGUGAAAUGCGUAGAUAUCGUUUGGAACGCCAAUGGUGAAAACAGGUAGCUGGGAGUGUGCCGACGCUGAGACACGAAAGCCAAGGUAGCAAACGGG
rnacentral:rRNA from 1 species